rnacentral:rRNA from 1 species
ACCCCGGCGAGGGGAGUGAAAAAGAACCUGAAACCGUGUACGUACAAGCAGUGGGAGCCCCACCACCAAAGCAUUUGCUGUACCAUGUUGACGGAGCGAAGCGACGUCAAACCGAUAAAACAGCAGUGUAAAGUGAGCCGCAGGGCGCUUUGCGCGACAGCGCAAAGGCAGGCGGUUUCGCGUAGCGAAAGCGAAUGCUUUGGGGUGGGGUGACUGCGUACCUUUUGUAUAAUGGGUCAGCGACUUAUAUUCUGUAGCAAGGUUAACCGAAUAGGGGAGCCGGAGGGAAACCGAGUCUUAA